rnacentral:tRNA from 1 species
GGUUGGCUCAGUGGUAGAGUGCUUGUCUUGCAUGCAUGAGACCCUGGGUUCGAUUCCUCAGCACCA